AUACCAGCCCCGCGAGUGGUCGGGACGAUUAUUGGGCCUAAAGCGCCCGUAGCCGGCCCGGUAAGUCCCCCUUUAAAGGCCGGGGCUCAACCCCGGUGCGGGGGGGAUACUGCCGGGCUAGGGGGCGGGAAAGGCCGAGGGUACUCCCGGGGUAGGGGCGAAAUCCGUUAAUCCCGGGAGGACCACCAGUGGCGAAGGCGCUCGGCUGGAACGCGCCCGACGGUGAGGGGCGAAAGCCGGGGGAGCGAACCGGAUUAGAUACCCUAGUAGUCC
rnacentral:rRNA from 1 species